UACGUAGGGCGCAAGCGUUGGCCGGAAUUAUUGGGCGUAAAGAGCUCGUAGGCGGUUUGUCGCGUCUGCUGUGAAAGCCCGGGGCUCAACCCCGGGUCUGCAGUGGGUACGGGCAGACUAGAGUGCAGUAGGGGAGACUGGAAUUCCUGGUGUAGCGGUGAAAUGCGCAGAUAUCAGGAGGAACACCGAUGGCGAAGGCAGGUCUCUGGGCUGUAACUGACGCUGAGGAGCGAAAGCAUGGGGAGCGAACAGG
rnacentral:rRNA from 1 species